GAUGAACGCUGGCGGCGUGCUUAACACAUGCAAGUCGAACGGGAAACCUUUUAUUGAAGCUUCGGCAGAUUUAGCUGGUUUCUAGUGGCGGACGGGUGAGUAACGCGUGGGUAACCUGCCCUAUACAGGGGGAUAACAACCAGAAAUGGUUGCUAAUACCGCAUAAGCGCACAGGACCGCAUGGUCCGGUGUGAAAAACUCCGGUGGUAUAGGAUGGACCCGCGUUGGAUUAGCUUGUUGGUGGGGUAACGGCUCACCAAGGCGACGAUCCAUAGCCGGCCUGAGAGGGUGAACGGCCACAUUGGGACUGAGACACGGCCCAGACUCCUACGGGAGGCAGCAGUGGGGAAUAUUGCACAAUGGGGGAAACCCUGAUGCAGCGACGCCGCGUGAAGGAAGAAGUAUCUCGGUAUGUAAACUUCUAUCAGCAGGGAAGAUAGUGACG
rnacentral:rRNA from 1 species